AACGAACGUUAGCAAGAUGUUUUAAGCAUGCAAGUCGAGCGGCAGCACUUCGGGUGGCGAGCGGCAAACGGGUGAGUAAUAGUUAGCUAACCUGCCUCUUAGAUCGGGAUAGCCGUCGUAAUGGCGAUUAAUACCGAAUAUGGAGCCUUUCUUUAAUAGAAAGGUUUUAAAGGCGCGUCUUGCGUCGCUAAGAGAUGGGGCUAACGCCUAUUAGCUUGUUGGUGAGGUAAUGGCUCACCAAGGCGACGAUAGGUAGCCGGCCUGAGAGGGUGAUCGGCCACAUUGGGACUGAGAUACGGCCCAGACUCCUACGGGAGCAGCAGCUAAGAUAUUCCGCAAUGGGCGCAAGCCUGACGGAGCAAUCUUGCAUGGAUGAUUGAAGGCUUUCGAGUUGUAAAAUCCUUUCGUUAGGAAGAAAAAGCAGUCUAGGAAAUGCGACUGUUUGACGGUACCUAAAGAAGAAGCCCGGCUAACU
rnacentral:rRNA from 1 species